rnacentral:piRNA from 1 species
UGUUACUGAACCUACAAGUCUUCUCCUCA